UGGGGAAUAUUGCACAAUGGGCGCAAGCCUGAUGCAGCCAUGCCGCGUGUAUGAAGAAGGCCUUCGGGUUGUAAAGUACUUUCAGCGAGGAGGAAGGCGUUGUGGUUAAUAACCGCAACGAUUGACGUUACUCGCAGAAGAAGCACCGGCUAACUCCGUGCCAGCAGCCGCGGUAAUACGGAGGGUGCAAGCGUUAAUCGGAAUUACUGGGCGUAAAGGGCACGCAGGCGGUCUGUCAAGUCGGAUGUGAAAUCCCCGGGCUCAACCUGGGAACUGCAUCCGAAACUGGCAGGCUAGAGUCUUGUAGAGGGGGGUAGAAUUCCAGGUGUAGCGGUGAAAUGCGUAGAGAUCUGGAGGAAUACCGGUGGCGAAGGCGGCCCCCUGGACAAAGACUGACGCUCAGGUGCGAAAGCGUGGGGAGCAAACA
rnacentral:rRNA from 1 species